CCCUUAGAUGUUCUGGGCCGCACGCGCGCUACACUGAUGAAUGCAACGAGCUCUACCCUUGACCGAAAGGCCCGGGUAAACUUGUGAAACUUCAUCGUGAUGGGGAUAGAUUAUUGCAAUUAUUAAUCUUCAACGAGGAAUUCCUAGUAAGCGCGAGUCAUCAGCUCGCGUUGAUUACGUCCCUGCCCUUUGUACACACCGCCCGUCGCUCCUACCGAUUGAAUGGUCCGGUGAAAUCUUCGGAUUGCUGAUCAAAUUCCAGCAAUGGAGCUUGAUUGCGGGAAGUUGAUUAAACCUUAUUAUUUAGAGGAAGGAGAAGUCGUAACA
rnacentral:rRNA from 1 species